GGAGAGAUGUCAGAGUGGUCGAAUGUGCCGCUCUCGAAAAGCGGUAGGGUUAAUAGCCCUCGUGGGUUCGAAUCCCACUCUCUCCGCCC
rnacentral:tRNA from 1 species